rnacentral:rRNA from 1 species
GCUUGUCUCAAAGAUUAAGCCAUGCAUGUCUAAGUAUAAACAAAUCUAUACGUGAAACUGCGAAUGGCUCAUUAUAUCAGUUAUAGUUUAUUUGAUGGUUCAUACUACUUGGAUAACCGUAGUAAUUCUAGAGCUAAUACAUGCGUCAAAACCCAACUUCUGGGAGGGUUGUAUUUAUUAGAUGGAAACCAAUUCGGGGCAACCCGGUUCAUGGUGAUUCAUAAUAACUUUCGGAUCGACAGCAAUGUCGAUGCAUCAUUCAAGUUUCUGCCCUAUCAGUUGUGGAUGGUAGGGUAUUGGCCUACCAUGACUUUAACGGGUAACGGAGAAUUAGGGUUCGAUUCCGGAGAGGGAGCCUGAGAAAUGGCUACCACAUCCAAGGAAGGCAGCAGG